rnacentral:rRNA from 1 species
CUAAUACAUGCAGUCGUACGCUUCUUUUUCCACCGGAGCUUGCUCCACCGGAAAAAGAGGAGUGGCGAACGGGUGAGUAACACGUGGGUAACCUGCCCAUCAGAAGGGGAUAACACUUGGAAACAGGUGCUAAUACCGUAUAACAAUCGAAACCGCAUGGUUUUGAUUUGAAAGGCGCUUUCGGGUGUCGCUGAUGGAUGGACCCGCGGUGCAUUAGCUAGUUGGUGAGGUAACGGCUCACCAAGGCCACGAUGCAUAGCCGACCUGAGAGGGUGAUCGGCCACAUUGGGACUGAGACACGGCCCAAACUCCUACGGGAGGCAGCAGUAGGGAAUCUUCGGCAAUGGACGAAAGUCUGACCGAGCAACGCCGCGUGAGUGAAGAAGGUUUUCGGAUCGUAAAACUCUGUUGUUAGAGAAAAACAAGGAUGAGAGUAACUGUUCAUCCCUUGACGGUAUCUAAACGGGAAAGCCGGGGGGGAACUACCGUGCCAGCGGCCCCGGUAAUACG